CAGCCUUUUCAUAUGCUUAUACCUCUCCCAUGCCAGGGCCCCGAGGGCAUUAAUAAGCCUUAACGGCCCUGAGCAGCCUCACCUGCUCCGUGCACCUGGGGGCCCGGAGCCUAUUUAUGCCCAGUGAGGGGGCUCAGCCCCUUUCUGGGCUGUCCUGGGAUGUGCUGGGCUCCAGCUUGGCCACACAGUGCCUGGCUACAGGCAGACCCUGUGUAUUUAUCUCCCACCUGGACCCCAAGCCUGUAUCACCUGCAUGGACCUGCCUGGAGAUCGCUGGGCCCCAUCCUGACCCCAACCUGUGGGUGGACUUCAUGACUUGGCUUUGGACCUGCUUCACUGACUGGCCACAUCUGCUCUUGGUUGGAGCUGGCCCAGUCCCUGGUCUGCCCUGCUUGUCUUCCUGGGCAUCUGACUUUAUUCCUCUGGGUCAGCAGUGCAACAGCAACCUAUAUACAGCGAACCCAUUUAGAUGCAUGCAUUGCACACAGUUUUAAUGGAUACAGACAGGACGUAAACUCUUGGGAAUGCUACAUUUCUUUCUGAAGAAUGCCGACUAGCCACUAAAGCUUAGAAAAUGUAGACAGUGGCACUGGCAUGAUUCAAAUAUAGGGUAAUGAACUAUCUUUUGUGACUUAUGAGAACAAACGAUGCAUCAAGAUAAGCAGAUGCAAUACUGGAGUUCAGAAAGUUCAGAAGUAUGAAAGGAGAAAUCGUAGAAUCAAGGUUGGAAAAGACCUCCAAGAUCAUCUUGUCCAAAUGUCCACCUACCACCAAUAUUAUAAGUAGUAAUCAGGAAGUGUUAUCUAGAUUUUUUCUACAGUAUGAAGUAAAAAUUCUGUGAAAUUCAGGAGGGCUGGAACUGCAGAUUGAGGCAGCUGGUGCUGAGGAUGCAACUUCUCUUCUUUCUCUGUGGACUAAGAGCAGCAGCUGGAGUGCACAAAGGGUGCUGCUGGAUGCAUCUGGUUUGGUUUUACCUGAAAGUAAUUGACGCAGCCUUUCAAAAACCACUCUGCAACACAAACUUAAAAGGACUAAGUGAAAAUGACAAGGAGAUUCAUUUCAGAAGUGAUCUGAUUUGAAGAAAACGCAGAUAAGUGUGCUCAAAACAGUGGUUAAAAAGAAGCAUUCAGGGGCUGAAAGUUGAACUAAUCAACUCCUCUGCUGGUUUGGCACCCAGACGACUUGACUCCCAUCGCUGUUCAGAUUUCAGCUGUACUUCUGGGUUCUAGUUCUGAACCAAGAAUGGCCAAGCUGCUCUCCAGCUUGCAGCCCCACGGGCACUGUACGUCGGGACUGCCUUGCCAUGCCAAAACCUGAGGGGACUACAGAGCACCACAAGCAGUAAUAAACUUGCAAGCUUGGCUUACGUUUGUUAGCACACUACAUGUGUAAGCACAUCCUACUUGAAUAGGGUUAACAUGUUAAGCAGUAACACUUGCAAAUAUUUGUACAUAUCUUGUGCAUCUCUUCAAUCUUCUGUGAUUCCAGUCCGAUGGUUUUCCAAUAUGCCCGGUGCUGCCACUGCAUUCUUGGAAACAAUGCUUACUCUUUCCAUGUGCUGAGACUGUAGGCAGCACUGAAGAACAAAAAUCCUAUUUCUCCAUUUCCUUCUUGUCUGGACGGCAGGGCUCGCAUUACUGCUUCCUCCAAAAUGUCUGUUAAUGCCCAACCAACCGCUAGUGAAAGAUUUCACUUCUAGAGCCCCACCAGGUGGCACUGUGGUAAAACACUUAACGUAAGGCAGCUGUUAAACUACUUACCAAGCGGCUGCGUAACUGCCAAAUUUUAAGGGAUCUUUAGAGUUAAGAAAAUAGGUGGGAUUUAUGGGAAAAGUAUUGAUCUCUAACGGAACUGAGCGUUGUAAAUGAUAUUUUAGAGAAUUUGCCAGUUACUACAGCUCAAAGUGCAUUUAGUGCUAACUGGCAUCUGUUUAAGAUAUAUGUGAAGAAUUAGAACUAACGAAGAAAAUCUGUAGGUGAUUAGAGGAUUUAUUCAUAAAUGUUAUUGCUUUUUUUUAAAAAAAAGCUUGGGACAUGAACUCACAGCAUUGCCAGGAAUUAUGUUCAGGUAGAGCUAUGUAAGCCUUUCAUGUUCACAGACCUAAGGGGAGGGUUGGUUUGUGAGGCUUGGUGCAAAGGUCACCCCAAGCUGCUUUGUUUCCUUGAACUGACACUCCAGUCCAAGUAGGUCCCCUUUUUAUUUAGAUUAUUGUUCUGUACUUCUGGGGACUGAAAGCAAAACCACUUGUUUUUAAUGUAAGCCAUAUUUUAAAAGCCAUAAUGUUAACAUGAGACAUCUGAAAUUUCAGAACACUGAUAAGCAUUCACAAUAGCAGGAUAAUUAAUAUCAGUGUUUAUAUAGUAUCUCUCAUUGCACAAGAUCCCAAAAGGACUUUGCAGAUAAUAUCCUGCAGAAGCUAUUGUAGCCAUAAUACAAAACAUCUGGUCCAUAGCAGUUUAAAAAUCCCACUUUAAUUUCAGCUCUUUUUCCCCUAAAGUCAAUGGACUAUUUUGCCAUCCAGAGUUGAAUUAAGCCCUUUGUUUUCAUUUGGUCCUUGAAGCUAAGAGAAAUGAAUUACGGUAGUUUUGUUCAGCACCUCCUAGAGACCAAGUUUUAAUUGCGGGUGUCCUGCUCAGAUAGCUGGCUGGGAUUUCCAGAUGACAUACAACCUGAUCUAAAAGUGUUUCAGGGUACAGAGGGACAUCUGGAAAUUCCAGAUAAGUGUUACAAGGCUUCAUAACCUUGACAGAGACCUGAGCAAAAAAAGAACCCUAAAGGUAUUUGGUAACCUUAUGAGGGGCUGUAGCUCUCUCAGUGAGAAGAGAAAACAACCACCCCAAACUGUCUGUUCACUGUAUAACCACAAAAUUGUUUCAGUCUCACAAACUUCAUUAGGUUAGUGAACUAAAAACCUAGAAUUUGUCAGUAUUGACUCAACCACAAAGGGCACCACCAGAGAACAAGUGCUGGGAAUAAACGCGUGCAUAGAAGGAACGUGAUUUAUCAGGCUGCUUUUAACCCACAGAAGUUCUUUGAGCGCUGGAUCUUGUGUGCCUUGUUCUUGU